rnacentral:misc_RNA from 1 species
UUCUUUAGGUUUGAAUGCUGAGGUACAUGCUCAAAAUUUCUUUUGUUAGAUUUCUAUUAUUUUGAGUUAGUGAGGCAAACAAUUCUGCUUUAUGAAAUUUCUGUGCAAGGGUUUAUUUUAACAUCAUCAAACUUAUCCAAUGCAGGAGGGGGUUCCAUGUUAUAAAGCUUGUCAUAUAGACCUCUUGAACCAUAUUACUAUGAAUUAUUCUGGAUUAAAAAUAUUUACUCUUAAAUAGUUUUCUGUUGCCAUCACAGCUCUUCUGUCUAACUUGAACAGUUGAGAAACUUUUUCCUAAAAAGAGAAAGAAAGAAAAAAAAGG